AUUGAACGCUGGCGGCAGGCCUAACACAUGCAAGUCGAGCGGAUGAGGGGUGCUUGCACCCCGAUUCAGCGGCGGACGGGUGAGUAAUGCCUAGGAAUCUGCCCGAUAGUGGGGGACAACGUUUCGAAAGGAACGCUAAUACCGCAUACGUCCUACGGGAGAAAGUGGGGGCUCUUCGGACCUCACGCUAUCAGAUGAGCCUAGGUCGGAUUAGCUAGUUGGUGAGGGAAAGGCUCACCAAGGCGACGAUCCGUAACUGGCCUGAGAGGAUGAUCAGUCACACUGGAACUGAGACACGGUCCCGACUCCCACGGGAGGCAGCAGUGGGGAAUUUUGCGCAAUGGGCGAAAGCCUGACGCAGCAACGCCGCGUGGGUGAUGAAGGUCUUCGGAUCGUAAAACCCUGUCGUUGGGGACGAAGGUUGGGGGGUGAACAGCCCUUCAGCUUGACGGUACCCGGAGAGGAAGCCCCGGCUAACUCUGUGCCAGCCGCCGCCGUAAUAC
rnacentral:rRNA from 1 species